AGUGAACGCUGGCGGUAGGCCUAACACAUGCAAGUCGAACGGCAGCACAGUAAGAGCUUGCUCUUACGGGUGGCGAGUGGCGGACGGGUGAGGAAUACAUCGGACUCUACUUUUUCGUGGGGGAUAACGUAGGGAAACUUACGCUAAUACCGCAUACGACCUACGGGUGAAAGCAGGGGAUCUUCGGACCUUGCGCGAUUGAAUGAGCCGAUGUCGGAUUAGCUAGUUGGCGGGGUAAAGGCCCACCAAGGCGGCGAUCCGUAGCUGGUCUGAGAGGAUGAUCAGCCACCCUGGAACUGAGACACGGUCCAGACUCCUACGGGAGGCAGCAGUGGGGAAUAUUGGACAAUGGGGGCAAGCCUGAUCCAGCCAUACCGCGUGGGUGAAGAAGGCCUUCGGGUUGUAAAGCCCUUUUGUUGGGAAAGAAAAGCAGCAGGUUAAUACCCCGCUGUUCUGACGGUACCCAAAGAAUAAGCACCGGCUAACUUCGUG
rnacentral:rRNA from 1 species